rnacentral:rRNA from 1 species
UUCCGGUUGAUCCUGCCAGACCCGACUGCUAUUUGGGUGAGGAUAAGCCAUGCGAGUUGAAUGGGAUACCCAAAGUUCCCAUGGCAAACUGCUCAGUAACACAUGAUCAACUUACCCUAUAGAGAAAAAUAACCUCGGGAAACUGAGGAUAAUGUUUCAUAGUUGAAUUGGCUUGGAAAAGUUUUUCGACGAAAGGGGUAAAAAGAAUGGUUUUUAUCUGCUAUAGGAUAGGAUCGUGUUCGAUUAUGGUUGUUGGUGAGGUAAUGGCUCACCAAGCCGAUAAUCGAUAGGGGCCGUGAGAGCGGGAGCCCCGAGAUGGGUACUGAGACAACGACCCAGGCCUUACGAGGCGCAGCAGGCGCGAAACCUCCGCAAUACACGAAAGUGUGACGGGGUUACCCAAAGUGUUCAAUUUUGAACUGUGGUAGGUGAGUAAUGUUCCCUACUAGAAAGGAGAGGGCAAGGCUGGUGCCAGCCGCCGCGGUAAAACCAGCUCUUCAAGUGGUCGGGAUAAUUAUUGGGCUUAAAGUGUCCGUAGCCGGUUUAGUAAGUUCCUGGUAAAAUCGGGUAGCUUAACUAUCUAUAUGCUAGGAAUACUACUAUACUAGAGGGCGGGAGAGGUCUGAGGUACUACAGGGGUAGGGGUGAAAUCUUAUAAUCCUUGUUGGACCACCAGUGGCGAAGGCGUCAGACUGGAACGCGCCUGACGGUGAGGGACGAAAGCCAGGGGAGCGAACCGGAUUAGAUACCCGGGUAGUCCUGGCCGUAAACGAUGCAUACUAGGUGAUGGCACGGCCAUGAGCCGUGUCAGUGCCGUAGGGAAACCGUUAAUUGUGCCGCCUGGGAAGUACGGUCGCAAGGCUAAAACUUAAAGGAAUUGGCCGGGGGAGCACCACAAGGGGUGAAGCCUGCGGUUCAAUUGGAUUCAACGCCGGGAA